UACGGAGGAUGCAAGCGUUAUCCGGAUUUAUUGGGUUUAAAGGGUGCGUAGGCGGAAGAAUAAGUCAGUGGUGAAAUACUGCAGCUUAACUGCAGAAUUGCCAUUGAUACUGUUUUUCUUGAGUGCAGUUGAGGUAGGCGGAAUGUGUAGUGUAGCGGUGAAAUGCUUAGAUAUUACACAGAACACCGAUUGCGUAGGCAGCUUACUAAACUGUUACAGACGCUGAGGCACGAAAGCGUGGGGAGCGAACAGGAUUAGAUACCCGCGUA
rnacentral:rRNA from 1 species